UAUUUUUUUUUUCGAUACACGCGUCUCCACAGCCUUCUCACCUUACACCUGGCCGGCUGCUUCUGUAUGUCUGGCAUCAUCUCCUCCAUAAACUCUUUUUCUACGUGUAAACAGUCGGCUAGGGUUCACCUGUAAGAGAUGUUGCUGGUUCAACAUUGAAACAACGGUAGAAGACGAACAUAUAGGCAUUCAGCGGUACGAUUUCAACACUCUCACUCACCGGAAAGAAUGGCGAUUGCUCAACUUUCUUCAAUGUUCAUCUCUAUGUAUCUCCACCACCGCUAGAAUCUCUGUUGUUUCUCACUUUUCGGCGUCAUCCGGUUUGCAUCGAAUUGGAACAAGUUUCAUUGACAAUUCACCCGUUUGGUAGUACGUGUUGAAGUUAGCUCUAUUGUAGAUUUGUACAACUUUGUGUUAAGGUUCAGUACGCAUUAUGUUACAUUAGAGUGAGGGGGUGACGGUGGAUGAAGCCCAUCGUGAAGGAACCUGAUCGCUGCCAUGUCUUAGACGACGGCGAUGGUUUGUGGAAGUUAUGGUCGGAGACUCUUUAAACCUAUUAUGUUGAAGGAUCGUGUUUCACCUAGCAAGGAAGUUGUUAACCAGGUUUAGUACUGGCAGCGAUGGAAGUUUUCGGCUAAAAAUGCUUAACCCCGACGAAUGCUAAUCUGCAGCGCGUUGGGUUGUAAAGCUCUGGGGGUAGGGUUUUGGGCAGAGAAGAGAUGUAGCGAAGAGAAAAAUGGGUUGGAUUCAAAUAUUAAUCUUGGGAUUACUUCAAGGAGAUAUGUAUGAAUUAUACAAAAGGUGUGUGUAAGGCUGUAAGGAUGAGAAGUUGUAGGUAUGUAGUUUCACAAAAGCUUUGGCCAGAGGCGUGCUAUGUUCUCAAUGAAGCCUGAUACAAGGAGAAAUCAAGUCCAAAUCACACUUCGGUCUUGCUUCCGCUUUAGACAUAGGCGCAUCUAGGAAUAAGUUACCAGGUGAUCAUAGCUCUGGCAGUGGGAUCAUAAGAUCAGUGGUGACAUUUUGCAUUUUGCAUUUUGCAUUUUGCAUUUGAGAGUCACAUGCAAGAAAUGAAGCCCAAUGUUUAGGAUACAACACGAAAGUAGUAGCUUUUCACCGAAUUUCGUCAAAUAAUGAAACAGGGUUUUGCGUUUGUUGAAUGGGGGAUGUGUCAUGUGUUUAUUGAGCAUGGGGAGUUCGGUUUCUUAUCAGCGAGCAGUGGCAUGGGGAAGGUGGUUAAUGAAGAACAAAAUGCUCACUGUAUCUACUACAUGUUUAUUAACCGGUCUACAUAUGAAGAAACUUUUGGAUA